rnacentral:piRNA from 1 species
UGGUAGUGCCACUCCCUGGUAACCAGCAUU